ensembl:piRNA 21ur-1291 ncRNA
UGGUUCCAUCGAUCUCUUAUC